CAAGGCCUAAGGUUCUCACUCUGGCACCCCAGGGGGCCGGGGGGUGGUGGGGGUAAGGGCCAGGGCAAGGCUCUGUGCUUGACCCAGGAGGGCCCCUUGCGCAAGGCUUUCUGAUGCAACUGGCUGCUAGCUGAACACCUCGGCACCUCCCCACCCUGCACCCUGCAAGCUGUUCUCAGAAAGGGAAGGGCUGGACAGUGCCCUGGAUUGAACACACAUAAUCCCCUUCCUUCCCUGGCCCUGGUGGCUUCAGGGCCUCAGGGAGCGGGCAGGAAGGAAGGCAGGCAGGGCCGGGAUCAGAUGACUCAGCAGCUCAGCUGCAACUUCUGUCGGAGGGGGCGGAUCUGGGGCUCCCUCCGCCUCCCAGCUGGAAGGUAAGGGACGGAGUCAGGAUCCCGGGAAGUUCUGGGAGCCCCAUCCAACACAUACAAAGCAGCAAUUAUGUGGUUGAGCCCAGAGAGGUACUCGAGAGCCCAAGGUGACCCGACUGUCAGAGGCAAGGUCACAACCGAAACCCAGCAGUCCUCCUGCCAGCUCUAGCUCCUUCCACCUCAGGUUGGGGCGAGGACCCCUCCCCCUUGAGGAGGGCGUAGGACUUCCCCAGAACUUUCACCCAAAAUGGGCUUUGGAACCACACAGACCUGGGUUCAAACCCCAGACUUGCUGUGUGACCCUGCGUGGGCUACUUCUGCCGUCUGACACGUGGUUUUCUCACCUGUGAAAAGAGCGUAAAUUCAUCCUCAGCCCACAGGGUUGUGGUCAGGAUUACAUGAGAAAGAAGAUGGACAGCCCAGGUUGCCACAUGGGGCACGCUCAGAAGAUGUGUCCCCACCUCUCCCUUCACCCUUAGCUCUCAAGAGGGAUGAGAACAGCAACUUCGUGGGAGGGGUGAGGAUGGAGCGGGAUGAUGUGAGGAAGCACCCACACAGGGCCACGCUGGAUCCACGGGCCCGAGAAUCACAUUCUUCGUGAAGAAAACCCAGGCCCGCAGGGCCGACCUGGUUCACCCAGCAGGGCCGUGGCUGCCCCUGGGCCACCUCUGGGCAGAUGCUGUGCCCAGGCACAGGGCUUCCUGCCUUUCCUGCAUGAGCCAGAUUCAGAUGCUGAGGGAGUUCUGCAAAGCCCCUGGGAAUCGUUGGUGAACGGGGGGUGCCCGGUGUCCUGAUGAGGGCUCCCCAAGAGGAGCCUAGGCCUGCAACUCCUGAAUCACCCACUGCCUUUCCCAAAUUGCUUGGCCCAAAUCCAUUUACGCAUCUGUAUUAUUAGUUUCUCAGUGUUUUUCUCUCAAUCAGCUCAUUUUAAAAAACUUAGGUAAAUAAAAUUAAAAUGGAAAAUUUAGAUACUGACCUCAAAUGGGAAACCACUAUCAUUUCCCAUAAGGAGGAAGUCACCAUAAAAUGAAAUACAAGGAAAGCCAAAUAAGAUUCUUUGAACCUAGUAAAAUCCUGUUUCUUGCUGAAGGCUCUGAGUUGCUCUUUAUUCCUGAACAAGUGAGCCGUUAAAGGUGGAGAGGCUGUAAAACGACACUUCCUCCCCUCGGGACUGGAGGAGCAGGAAGAAAAUCAGAAGGAGAUACGGGUGUCACCGUAUGAUUCAAAGUUUAAUAGAGCCUUGAGAUGCUCCGACCCCCUGGCAUCCUCCCUCUGCUGGACAUGUCAUCUCAGAAAACACUGACUCGUCCAACUCUCUCUUCCUACUGUACAGAUAAGAAACUAAGGCCCCAGGAGGGGAAGUGACUUGCCCACCAUCUCACAGCGUCAGUGGAUUCAGCCAGACCUGGAUCUAACCAGAACUCUUUCCAAGGUGUCGUUCUACCUUCAUGGGGAGAAUUUACGAAGUCGAAGGUUCUAAGGACACCAGUGGUGGAAUUUCAGGCGUUAGGCAGGCACCGACGAGGGGCUGGAAAGGAAGGAGGCAGGCGUGGCCGCUCACAUGGCCGUCCACGGACUCCCACCGCCUCUCCUCCCGUGGAGCUCAGCCCUCCGAGUUCCUCCUCUCAGUGCUGAGGGUCAGCAGAGCUACAGCAAAUAGAAACACAGCCUGCUGGGCUCAGGCAGCCUGGUAGAGGGGCUUUCUCAGCCUGGACAGAAGGGAAUUCAUGAAAGCCAGACUCUCGACCCAGGAAAGUGCACAUUUUUGCAUUUAGUUUGGAGGAGUUGGUCACCAUUUAUUUUCUCUCCCUUUAACAAGUGCUUAUGUAUGCCAGGCUCUUCCCAAAUAUUAAGUCAUUUAAUCCUCAUGACAAACCAACGAAGGGGGGUGCUAUUAUCAUUCCCAUUUUACAGAUGAGGAAACUGAGGCACGGAGAGUUUAAGUAAGUUACCCAAAAUCUUGCUACUCAGAAGUGGUAAGAUUUGAAUCCACGAAAUGUGGUUUAACUGUAACAAGAGGCUGCCUCCAUGCAUUUAAUCCUUAGGACUACAACGCAAAGAGGGUAUAAUCAAUCCCAUCCUAUAGAUGUGGAAACUGAGGCUCAAGGCUCUGUGGCACUUAUGUUGUAGACCCCUCAGACUCUCCGCUUCCUUGCUCUGCUCCCUAGACCGUGUGCCAGGAAUUCUCACUCUAGGGCUGUGCUACUCGAUAUGGUAGCCAUUUGCUACCUGUGGCUCCUGAGCAUUUAAAAUGCAGCUGGUUGUGACUGAGGAACUGAACUUUCCAUUUUAUUGAAUUUUAAUUGUAAAACAGGUAGCAUAUUUUUUCCAUUAAACCCAACGGAAUUGUUUUGGUAAGACAAGAGUUCACUUUAACCACUGACAAUUUAGCUUCCACGCUGAUUUUGUCCAAAUCAAGUGUAAAACACACGUG
ensembl:lncRNA